rnacentral:rRNA from 1 species
GACGAACGCUGGCGGCGUGCUUAACACAUGCCAGUCGAACGGAAAGGCCCUGCUUUUGUGGGGUGCUCGAGUGGCGAACGGGUGAGUAACACGUGAGUAACCUGCCCUUGACUUUGGGAUAACUUCAGGAAACUGGGGCUAAUACCGGAUAGGAGCUCCUGCUGCAUGGUGGGGGUUGGAAAGUUUCGGCGGUUGGGGAUGGACUCGCGGCUUAUCAGCUUGUUGGUGGGGUAGUGGCUUACCAAGGCUUUGACGGGUAGCCGGCCUGAGAGGGUGACCGGCCACAUUGGGACUGAGAUACGGCCCAGACUCCUACGGGAGGCAGCAGUGGGGAAUAUUGCACAAUGGGCGGAAGCCUGAUGCAGCAACGCCGCGUGCGGGAUGACGGCCUUCGGGUUGUAAACCGCUUUCGCCUGUGACAAAGCGUGAGUGACGGUAAUGGGUAAAGAAGCACCGGCUAACUACGUG